UCCACCCGCCCCUCGGGCAGGGACUGUGCAAAUCGAGGAGAGGGGAGGACCAACAGGCUACCCGGGGUCUAGCUAAGGGGCCAGGACUCUUCACUGAGACCUUAUCCAAGCUAGGUGUUCCCCGCAUCACGGAACCUGGAUUUGUGUGAAGCGGGGUGAUUCCAGGGCCAGGAAUUCCUUCCAGCAGGUCCACUGUACCUUCGUCUCGCUUCAGGACCCCCCUUGGAUGCUCUGAGCCACCCUUCUCAACCCGGAUCUAAAACCUGGGACACGGCUAUCAGGCCAGCCUCUCUCCCUCCACCCCUCCCCCUCUUUCUGGCGUCCAUCCCCUCCCCAACACCACCUCUGCUGCUGCCUCUGGCUGUGGACCUGCACCUCUUCUCCAUCCUCUCCAGGCCGGGAGAGUGGGGUUAGCCUGGAUGAGAGUGUGCCCCUAACCUGGGGCCCUCCCAGGCCAUGGCUCCUGUGUUCCCAGGGAGGAGUCCAGGACCCUGAGCAUCUGCUAGAAGCUUGGCAGAGGCCCCGCUGGGACCGAGUCUUCUGAGGACAAAAGGCUGCGGCCAGCAGGCAGACUGGGUGGGGGGUGGGGGGGGGACCGGUAGCUAGGCAGGCAGAACAGUAGCGGAGCCAGCGCUGGCCCCCUCCCAGACCGGCGGUGGCAUGAAGAUGGGGGUGGGAGUGUUUAGUGGGAGAAGCACCUACCAGGACCCCCAUCUGCCCUCUACUUGGGCAUCCCAAAGCUGUGUGCUGCCCACCUGGUGUUCCCCAAGAUCUCCAGCUCUACCAAGUGUACCCUUCUGGCACCUGCUUCCCUUGCUGCCAAUGAUUUAGACCAACCAGGCUGUAUCCACGGCAACAGAAGCAGGAGUGUCACUGGCUGCCAGAUCAGUGAGGGUCCCACAAUGUGUUCUGGGCUGUGGUUUAUCCUGGAUGAGACAGAGUGAGCCUCCUUCCUGAAUUCCAAGACAGUCCUGCUAAGAGAACCCAGUCUCUACCUACAGGUAACAUACUUUUGCUCACUCACCCCGGAAGAUGUGUCCCAGCUAGUGGGAGGAAGCUGCUGUAGGAAUAGAGGAAGAUACCCAUAUUGUGUUUGGGACACAGUAGCCAGAGGUCCCUGUAUCUGGAGGUGCAGUAAAACCUGGUAUAUGGAGAACAUGGAUUCUACUAGGGACACGGCUCCUAACUACUAGCUCGCAACUUUAGUGGAGGCAUGUCACUUGUUGAACCUUGAUUUUUCCCAUUUGUCAAAGAGACUGGUAACCCUUUCCUCGCGGAUGUGUGCAGGGAUUAAAUAAAUUGGUGCAUGCAAACAAUUAAAUGUGUUUAUAGGAUGGUGCUGAGCAGUGCCAGGGUCAAUAUUAUUGCUGGUUGUUCAUGAUUAGUAUUGCUAUGGAUUAGGGGAAGGAUUAGCACCUUUUCUCCAGGGUCUCAGCAGAGAUCUAGAGAAGCCAGCAGUGGGGAAGAUGGAAGGUGGAAGGUAGAGGGAAGCAGAACAGCUUUAUGCUAUUACUUCUCAUUUGUAAAGAAUGAGAGAUACUUGUGGGCAGUCAUCCCCUACCCUACUCGGGGUUCUUUCCAUGCACUUCCCCUUAUUCGUGUACUCAGACACACACACACACACACACACACACACACACCAGACUGAAAGUCAGCAGAGGCCUGGCUUGCAGCCUGCAGAAUUCCUGGCCCUGGUAUGUGUCCCUCUGUUGAGGGGAAAUUAGCAAGAGCUUGGCUUAUGGUCAGUGGUUGGCAGGGACUGGAGACAAGACUGAAGCUUUUGAGAUUACAGGGUUCUGAGUGAGCUGGGGUGUGGUCCGUGCAGUAGCCAGACCUGUACCACAGUUUGCCCAUCUAGACCUUGGGUUGGGGAGAAUAGGGUUUCCUAAUUUGUUUCUAGGUAUGGAGAUGUGGUAGAAUACCAAGGGGUUGGGAAUCAGCAGAGGAGUCAAGGGAGGGGAGAGAUUGAAAAUAGAUUUCCUCUGAGGGACAGGGAGGGCCUGGGACCUUUAGACAUGAGUACACUUUCCUGAAGAAGCAUUUGAAGUGGAAAGGAGAGGAACUAACCUGUUGCCCAGGGGCAUCUCGACCUGAAACUAAGCAUAUAUAUGUGUGUGUGUGUGUGUGUGUGUGUGUGUGUGUGUGUGUAUACAUGAAGACAAAUGACUGCAUGUAUAGUCUGUGUGCACAUGUCUUAUCACUGUACUGUAGGUAUAUAUGAGUUUGUGUGUGUGUGAACAGGCUAUAUAAUAGCAUAUGGGAUUAUGUAGGUGUCUGAAUUGAUUUGUGUCUGUACUAGAGGGCAUGGUUUUGUAUGUCUGUCUGGGUGUGCAAAUGGUCCUGUUUGAUUUUGACCCACGUAUUGGCAUAUUUCUCUGAGCUUGUAUUAGGCCUGUUAGUGUGUGUAGUGUGUGUGUGUGUGUGUGUGUGUGUGUGUGUGUAUGUAUUGCAUAUCCAAUUAAAUGAAUGCCUAGUUGGAUCUGAUUGUGUAUAUUCCUGUUUUUCCAUGUGUGCCUUUCAGUGUGUGUUCAUCCAAACGAUUUGUUUGAGUAUAAUAAUAGAUAUAUGUAUCCCAUGCAUAUGUGUGUUGAACAUGCUUAUGUGUGUUGUAGGUGUGUCUCUCAUAUAUUUGUAUGAACAGGCCUAUGUGUAAAAGUCUGUAUAGAUUCUUUAGCAUUCUUCAUUAUGUCUAUGCCUGCAUGCGCAUGUUUGAGUGUCCACUGUCUUUAAACAAGCCUAUGUGUUCAUAUCUAUUUAAAGAAAUGUAAGUAUAAAUAGACACACUGAAAUAAGAGACGAGUAUAUGAAUGAAAAAUAUUUUAAGUGUGCACAGACUGUGGUGUUUACAGCAGUGUGUAUUAUAUUCAGCCACAAGGCUGUGUGCAUAGGUGAAUGGGUAGGGUACAUUUGUAUGAUGUCUAAUUUGGUGUAAGUGCAUAUCUGAUUAUUGUAUGCAUAAGUGUUGCAGGAUACUUGGGUGCAUGUGUCUCAGUAUGUGUUUUAUUUGAAUUUUUUAGUGUGACUGUGUAUUUGAAUAUGUCUUGAGUGACUGUGCAUAUAUAUGCUAGUAUUUGCUAAUACCUGACUGUGCAUAUAUUCAAGUGAACAUAUCUGUACAUAGGCAUAUGUUGUCAAACACAGUUAAGGGUAUAUUUUUGAAUAAGCUUGUGUAUGCCCAUCUGAAUACACAAAUAUGUGAAGUAUCAGUUAUUAUAUUAUAUUAUAUAGUGAUGUAUUAUAUAUUAUAGAGUGAUGUAUAUAAAUCUAUGCAUGCUACUCUUAGUUCACAAGUACAUUUAUGUGUGUGUAUGCAUUUAUUUAGGAUGUCUUUGCAUGUAUGUAUGUGAUAAGUGGAUCAAAUUUUCUUAUGCAGAUCAACAAGUGCGUGUGCAAGAAUACAUGAGAGUACUUCUAUAUGUGCAUGUGUUGAAAUAUGCCCUUAUGUUCUAUUCCAAUGUACAUAUAAGUUACUCUUCUUUUAUUUAUGUGGCUUCUCACAAUGGGUGUGUGGAUAUAACAAUGUAUAUAUACUUGACUGUGAUAGUGUGCUUUGUGAGUAUCUGUGUUUCCAUAUUUAAUUGUAUACCUAUAAGAAUGAAUUAAUGUAUAUACAAGUCUAUAAGCAUGUGAAUAUGCUAUGUGUGUACAUGACCAGUUGUGUACACAAAUCUAUAUGUUAGAAUAUCUGCAUAUGUAUACUUCAUCUCAUUUACAAGCAUUUGUAUAUUUGGGUAUGGAUAUGUGUGAGCACACCUAUACAGAUAUGUAUGUGUAUAUGCAUGUGUGCAUGCAUAUGUGUGUGUAUGUGUGUGUGUGUGUGUAUUCCUGUAGUUAUGUUUGAGGAUAUACAUGCACACAUUUGAGAGUUCCCUCUUCUGUACCCAUGUUUCUUUAUCAUUUCUUUAGAUAUGAUACAUAUAUUUUUACAUAUCUCUGUAGAUAUGUAAAAAAUACUUUCACAUAUCUGUAUCCCCACUUGUGUUUGUGAGUGAAUGCAUGUCAUUCAUGAGUAUAUCAUGUGACUAUAACCUAUUUUAAAGAGUAAAUGUGUAUACUUGUCACUAACUCCAAUGGAAAUGUGCCUAUGUAUGCAUAAAUAAAAG